GGCACUUUGGCCGAGUGGUCUAAGGCGCCGUGUUCAGGUCAAUCUUUGAUCUUCGCGGUCUGUUAAAGGCGUGGGUUCGAAUCCCACAGGUGUCA
rnacentral:tRNA from 1 species